rnacentral:lncRNA from 1 species
UUUGUUUGUUUACUUCUUACAGAUGCAUCUGAAAAAAAAAAGAGUUCUUUCUUAUACCUAGGAUUUUUAUUCUGGAUUACCAUUAUACAAGCAAAAAAUUAACCUGAUAUGUAAAAAUGUAGAUAUGUAAUUUGUUCAGGUCAAAGAUCACUUUGUAUAUUCAUGACACACUGUCUGUUCUAUUGCAUGUGGCCUAUUUUCCCUUCUUACUGUUCACUUUCUCCAACUGAAAAUAAGCCAGUUAUGACUUGAUUGCCAAAGGAGGAAAAAAUGUGUUUUCUAUUGCAUGUGGCCUAUUUUCCCUUCUUACUGUUCACUUUCUCCAACUGAAAAUAAGCCAGUUAUGACUUGAUUGCCAAAGGAGGAAAAAAUGUGUUUUCUACCUUAAUUAGCGGCAAGGCAAGAUUGCAGUUUGGAACUUCUCAUGUUGUAUUUUGAGGUAAGUCCACACACAUCCAGGCUAUAUCAAUUAGGGAUAACACAUCUUGAAAGUCAAAAAGAAGAAACUUUCCUAGUCAAAUGCAUGAAAGCUAAGAACUGAAUGUUAAAUAGUAGCCUUUAAGAAUACCAGCAUACUAUGAUUGUGAAAACACGAGAAGAAUUAGAAUAAAAUGCCUAUUACAAUGCAGUAACCAUACACAUCAUUAUACCAGUCAUCAUGUGACUAUUUAAUCUAUAUAAACUGCACAUAUGAGCAUGUAGACACGUGAAAGUAUCCUAGGAUUUCAUCAUGUGGCCAUAUGCAGUAAAGUUAUCUGAGAGGAAUCGUGAUGGUGGCGAAAAAAGGCAACAUGCAGAGGAAGAACAUUAGGUCAAGGCGAAAAGAAGAGACUAUUGGACAGAAGCCGUAAUAUGUGAAAGUCACCAGCUAUGAAGAAAAAGAGGAAUAACAGGACAGCAUCAGGAAGAUGUGUGGGAGGAUGAGAUUUGUAAAUGGAAAAGUAUGGAUUGGAAGUGCCCAUAAUUUAGACAAUGGAUGAGAUGAUGGCUACAAACUGGUUAGUAGUUAAUAGGAGUUCCACAAAAGCAGAUAUAGCAUUUUGAUCAUUCAAUGGUCAAAGUCGUUUCAGCUGUACAUGACAGUGUUUGUUCUAUGCAUCGACCACAAAGGGGCACACAGAGGAACAAAUGUUGCAACUUUGUUGUUUUGUUAAUGGAUGCCCUAUUUAUUCUCAGUU